UGUUGCCCGGACUGGUGCCGUCGAAGUUGACCUGGAAAGGCACGUCGGAGAGGGUGAGAGCCCCGUGCGCGACGCCACCGGACCGAGCUGCCACUGUCUUCGGAGAGUCGGGUUGUUUGGGAAUGCASCCCAAAGUGGGUGGUAAACUCCAUCUAAAGSUAAAUACCGGCACGAGACCGAUAGCGAACAAGUACCGUGAGGGAAAGGUGAAAAGUACUUUGAAAAGAGAGUCAAAAAGACCGCGAAACCGUUAGGAGGGAAACGAAUGCAGCUGAAGCGGCUCCCCGUCAGGCUCAGGAGCGUGGCGGAGGGUUCCCGGAGGCGAGCGGAGGCCCACUGCGCGGUCGCGCCCGUCGCCCGGCGAGCCUUCCCGUCCGCUCUGCACUUCUGCGGGGAGCCGGCCAACGGCAGUCGUCCCCGACUCGGAAAAGGCGCACGGGGAGGUGGCCUCCCGCCUCGGCGGGAGGAGCGUACAGCCCUGCGCAGUCGGCAGUUUUGGGGUGGCGACUGAGGAGAAUGAUUUUUUUCAAAGUGCGGUCUUUCGCACUGGCGGCGUGGGCUCCGCCGCCCCUCUUUUGGGGCGGCAGGUGGCUGGGUCGCUCCGGUCGGGUCUGCGGACGAGGCGGCGCACUGCUCGCAGUGCCCGCCUGCGGCCGACGGGCUCGGACGGGGGCCGACCACACCUCGCGCCGCGGUCGUUGGCGUUCGAAUGGCUGCAUCCGA
rnacentral:rRNA from 1 species